GUGGCAGCCGCCGCGGUAAUACGGAGGGUGCAAGCGUUAUCCGGAUUCAUUGGGUUUAAAGGGUGCGCAGGCGGAUUAUUAAGUUAGUGGUGAAAUCCCGGGGCUCAACCUCGGAACUGCCAUUAAUACUGGUAAUCUGGAAUACGGUUGAAGUGGGCGGAAUGUAGCAUGUAGCGGUGAAAUGCAUAGAGAUGCUACAGAACACCGAUCGCGAAGGCAGCUCACUAAGCCGAUAUUGACGCUCAGGCACGAAAGCGUGGGGAGCGAACAGGAUUAGAUACCCUGGUAGUCCACGCCGUAAACGAUGAUAACUCGUUGUUGGCGACACACAGUCAGCGACUAAGCGAAAGCGAUAAGUUAUCCACCUGGGGAGUACGAUCGCAAGGUUGAAACUCAAAGGAAUUGACGG
rnacentral:rRNA from 1 species